rnacentral:rRNA from 1 species
GAUGAACGCUGGCGGCGUGCCUAAUACAUGCAAGUCGAGCGAACGGACGAGAAGCUUGCUUCUCUGAUGUUAGCGGCGGACGGGUGAGUAACACGUGGAUAACCUACCUAUAAGACUGGGAUAACUUCGGGAAACCGGAGCUAAGACCGGAUAAUAUUUUGAACCUCAUGGUUCAAAAGUGAAAGACGGUCUUGCUGUCACUUAUAGAUGGAUCCGCGCUGCAUUAGCUAGUUGGUAAGGUAACGGCUUACCAAGGCAACGAUGCAUAGACGACCUGAGGGGGUGAUCGGACACACGGGAACUGAGACACGGUCCAGACUCUUACGGGAGGCAGCAGUAGGGAAUCUUCCGCAAUGGGCGAAAGCCUGACGGAGCAACGCCGCGUGAGUGAUGAAGGUCUUCGGAUCGUAAAACUCUGUUAUUAGGGAAGAACAUAUGUGUAAGUACCUGUGCACAUCUUGACGGUACCUAAUCAGAAAGCCACGGCUAACUACGUG